rnacentral:lncRNA from 1 species
GACUGGUCGAUUUUAUACAUUUAUGAAAAUAGCAUAACGUAUGGAGCCGUUGAAUCACUAUGUUGUACACCUGAAGCUAACCCAACACUGUAGGUCAGCUAAGCUUCAGUAGGAAAAAAAAAAACCAUAAAGUGAAGAUAAAUUAUGAAAAUCAUGCCCUCAUCCGGUGUUUUGGGGGCCCCACCCAGCGAAACACCUGAAAGUCUUAGGAGAGAAGAUGAAGCAGGAAGGGGUGGAGACCAUGGCAGAGAACAAUCAGAUGCACAGACCCGGUCAAGAAGCUGAAAGGUGUCAGCUCAUGAUUUUGUUUCCUUCAUACACGGAGCUGGCAGCCAGAAAUCCAGAGCAGAGUAAAGGGAAGGAGAAAGAGCAACCUCCUGGAAAUCAGUUGACAAAUAGUAAUCAAAGGAGAAGAGCGAUAGUCUCCAGUAAGACUCAGUUUGGCAACUAAUUUUUAUGCAAAUCAACUUAGUCCUAAAGCUCCCAUUUCUCUCUAGUAGUAGGGAAAAAUAAUCUCGCCCAUCCAACGAACUGCAGUCACUUCUGGCUUGAAAUAUAGUCAGGUCAGGAUUUGAACUUCUUCAGGUGGAAUUUUUCUGGGCUGGCCCCCUUCGCACACACACACACACACACACACACACACACACCCCUACACGUACGCACGCUUCCCUCCUGUGUGGUUGCUCUGGGACACAGCUAGUUUUCCCCCUUGUGGCUCCAAUUGUCAUAGGGUCCCCCUGUGAAGCUAUUUUCUCUUAGGGUUCCAAACAGGAAUUAGGGAACGGGCCUCCCAUGCUUUUGGAUACCUAAGCACAUUUGGAGUUUCAGGAC